CCUGGGUGUAUGUUGCUGUUCACAUUCUUCCAGACUACCUGUGCAUGACCUCUGACUUCCUCAAUCCAUCUCUAGAGACUGCCUGUGGGAAACUUCUAUGCGGAACAGUUUGUCUCGUGUUGGACCUCGGAUCAGACCCUGGAAAUGUCUCGUCCCUAGGGAUCAACACUACUAGAUCCGAAACGCGUAGACAUGGACUGUAUUUUUGGUUUUUAACGCACUGAAAUAAUAAAGUUGCCACGAUCAUUUGGAAGCUGGACUCUUCUUCUGCUUUAUUUGGAUGUCUGCCCUGACACCUAGGCUCCCGUCGUUGUCCAUGCUUCCUCUCAUAUUGCAGCCAGGUAUGUGGAGCAGAAUGUCUGAAGUUCCCAGUAUUAUCGAAAAUACAAAGAUAUUUCCAGCUUUCUAAAAAAUAGGCCUAGGGAAAUAAUUGUCCACAUAAUGCAGCGAAUGAACAGCACAUUUGAUCAAACAGAUAUUUCCUGUGUGGACAGUGAAAAGGGACUUUUCAAUGUUAACAGUGAAACCAACAAGCCAAAAAGAGACAUCGUCAGUUUAGGUGGUACUACUCCAUUCUGCACGUGCAGUGAUUGGGGAAAUUCUUUGCUUCCCUGCAAGCACAUUUGCAGCAUUUUUAAGAAUAUCGAUUAUUGGGGAUGGAGUAGACUGAGUCAGUCCUAUACUAAAAAUCCUCUCUUUCUGCGGGGUGUGCAAUGUUUUGGUAAGAAAAUAAAGGAAGACACAUCGGAGGGACACUAUGAUGUGCCAGCGUUGCAGCUGCCCCCCGCUGAAGAAAUAGAAGACCUGAUGGCCCGUAGAAGGGCCUUCCAAACAAAAAUGAUUAGCAAUUGUAAUCAACUUGUAAAAAAUAUUGUUGAUUCCAUUUUUUGGGAUAAAAGGUAUAAGCAGUUUACGUAUUGUAGAGGGAGACCUUGAAGAGAUGGCUUCAAAAGUAAAAGCUCCCAUACCCAAAGAAGAAAGUCUACUCUUAAUGCAGUCACCAAAGAGAAAAUCAGACACAUCUAACGUAUUUGAAUGGCAAACCAAAACAUUUGAAUGGCAAACCAAAGCAUCCAGCCUCACAAAGAGUUGGCACAAAAGCAGAACUUCUUAUGGAAGAUGUAUGGGUGAUCAAAGAGGAGGACUCAUUCCGAAGUGCAUUGGACUUUCCCCACAGAGAGGAAAAUGACACAUGGGUGUCAUUGCAUGGAAUUAGGCUUACUAUUCUAGAUAAGUCAUUCUUUCUGCCCAAGGGGCGGCGUUUCAGAUUCACUUGCGCCCAGCCA